rnacentral:tRNA from 1 species
CAGAAUGUAGCUUAUAUAAAGUUGAUUAUUUACACUAAUUAGAAAUCUUCGGUUCAUUUUGA